AUGUAUGACACCGCUGACUUUUUGUCCAACGUUUGACCAUUCGUCUUAUUCAAAAAAAAUAUGUAAUUAUCAUUUAUUUUAUUACGACUCUAUUCGUCAUCGAAUGUUCUUUAAGCAUGACAUAACUAUUUUCAUAUUUGCACAAAAAUUUUGAAUAAAACGAAUGGUCAAACGUUGGUCGAAAAGUCAAUGGCAUUAUA
rnacentral:pre_miRNA from 1 species